UACGGAGGGUGCAAGCGUUGUCCGGAUUUAUUGGGUUUAAAGGGUGCGUAGGCGGCCCGUUAAGUCCGGGGUGAAAGCCCACUGCUCAACAGUGGAACUGCCCUGGAUACUGACGGGCUUGAGUCCAGACGAGGGCGGCGGAAUGGAUGGUGUAGCGGUGAAAUGCAUAGAUACCAUCCAGAACCCCGAUUGCGAAGGCAGCUGCCUAGACUGUAACUGACGCUGAGGCACGAAAGCGUGGGGAGCGAACAGG
rnacentral:rRNA from 1 species